GCUGCGCGAUCAUACGCCCCGUUUCUCUGAUUCUAAUCAGAUUACAAACGCAUCGUUCCAGACCGGUUGUGCAACACGUCUGAUCCUCCCACCCUUCCAGCGUGUUCUGUCAUAGGAAGAGGUUAGGUAGCACGUUGGAAAGAGCGUGUGAAAUCUUCCACGUCCAAACUGUUUCGAGUUUCCUGUCCAAUUGGAAUUUUAAUCGACGCUGACAAUUACACGGUUAUAGAUGCAGUUACGUUCGAAGACGAAUUGAUUCGUGAACCGUUCGGCGAGGAUUAAAAUGUAUACAGAUGGAAAAUCGAUGUUGUAUAAGCAAAGGCGUAACAAUUUGCCAGCGGCGCAUUAUGGAUUGAAAACAGAUCGACGAUAUUUAUUUCAUCUAUAUGUCAAGCUGUAUUUACUGCCGCCAGUCGUUAAAGAUAAUCUAUGGAACUCGCAUCGGUAGCAGUAAAUACUUAUAAGAUGGCGCGCCGAUUUUAAUCUCUGUGGAAAUAACCGUUUGCAUAUUCUUAAUAAUCAUGGCAC